CUUGAUGAAAGAGCCACUGGCCCCUUCGCUUUAUAACAGCGCCACCUGCCGGACCAUAGAACGACGAAGCAAGAGCUGUGACUGCAACAGCUAGCAACUGCAGCUAGUUGUUUUUUUUGCACAUCACUUGGAAUAUGUGUUGCUAAGCGACAGCAUCAGGAGUGGGAGUGAGGAGAGAGCAUGCAUGCAGCAACAGAGGAUGCAAGGUAAAGAUGAGCAGAAUUCAAAGCAUUAUGGUGUGUGUAGUAGUUCAAACUUUAAUGGGGUUUUUCCAUAAAAUGUUCAUAUAGCACACACACACACACACACACACACACACACACACACACACACACACACACACACACACACACACACACACACACACACACACACACACACACACACACACACACACACACACACACACACACACACACACACACACAAACAGCUAUGUCUUACUAUACCAACAAUUGAUUCCCAUUCACACACACAUACACAUGUGUACACAUAUUGUUUCUGAAAUAUGAAACUGUAAGCUGCAACAGCUGACAAAUGAACCACAGGGUAGGACAAAAAGCCCUCCCUCUACUGUAAAGAAGCUGUAACAGCUGACAAAUGAACCACAGGGUAGGACAAACCCCCUCUACUGUAGAGAAGCUACAUUCUUGUCUCUUCUGUAGAUGUUAUAACCAUGUAUUGCUACCACUGCUACCACUGGUCAAAGGAAUGAUGUGUAAGUGAGUUUCAGAUAUGAAUUUAUGAAUGUUAUCUUUUACUAGCAAGUUAUCAAAUUUCAUGAACCUUGUUUCUUAGGCUACGUAUGUUAAUGUGGCCUGUUUUUAGCACUUUACUGGGAUGUUUCAUUGUUUUUAUUGCUUUACUUAUCAGAAGACGACAGCAAUAUUUACACUGAACAAAAAUAUAAACACAACAUGCAACAAUUUCAACGAUUUUACUGAGUUUCAUUUCAUCUAAGGUAAUCAGUCAGUUGAAAUAUAUAGGCCCUUAUUUAUGGAUUUCACAUGACUGGGAAUACAGAUAUUCAUCUGUUGGUCACAGAUACAGAAAAAAAAGGUAGUGGCGUGGAUCAGAAAACCAGUCAGUAUCUGGUGUGACCAUAAUUUGCCUCAUGCAGGGCGACACAUCUCCUUCACAUAGAGUUGAUCAGGCUGUUGAUUGUGGCCUGUGGAAUGUUGUCCCAUGUAACGGAUGUGAAAUGGCUAGCUAGUUAGCGGGUACGCGCUAGUAGCAUUUCAAUCAGUUACGUCACUUGCUCUGAGACUUAAGUAGUGUUGCCCCUUGCUCUGCAAGGGCCGCGGCUUUUGUGGAGCGAUGGGUAACGAUGCUUCGUGGGCAACCGUUGUUGAUGUGUGCAGAGGUUCUCUGGUUCGCGCCCGUGUCGGGGCGAGGGGACGACGUAAAGUUAGUACUGUUACAUUGAUGCUGUUGACCCGGAUCACUGGUUGCUGCGGAAAAGGAGGAGGUUGAAAGGGGGGUGAGUGUAACGGAUGUGAAAUGGCUAGCUAGUUAGCGGGUACGCGCUAGUAGCAUUUCAAUCAGUUACGUCACUUGCUCUGAGACUUAAGUAGUGUUGCCCCUUGCUCUGCAAGGGCCGCGGCUUUUGUGGAGCGAUGGGUAACGACGCUUCGUGGUUGACUGUUGUUGAUGUGUGCAGAGGGUCCCUGGUUCGCGCCCGUGUCGGGGCGAGGGGACGACGUAAAGUUAUACUGUGACACCCACUCCUCUUCAAUGGUUGUGCGAAGUUGCUGGAUAUUGGCGGGAACUGGAACAUGUUGUCAUACACGUCGAUCCAGAGCAUCCCAAACAUGCUCAAUGGGUGACAUGUCUGGUGAGUAUGCAGGCCAUGGAAGAACUGGGACAUUUUUAGCUUCCCGGGAAUUGUGUACAGAUCCUUGCGACAUGGGGCCGUGCAUUAUCAUGCUGAAACAUGAGAUGAUGGCGGCGGAUGAAUGGCACGAAAAUGGACCUCAGGAUCUCUGUGCAUUCAAUUUGCCAUCGAUAAAAUGCAAUGUGUUCGUUGCCCGUAGCUUAUGCCUCCCCAUACCAUAACCCGACCGACACCAUGGGGAACUCUGUUCACCACGUUGACGUCAGCAAACCGCUCGCCAACACGACACCAUGGGGAACUCUGUUCACCACGUUGACAUCAGCAAACCGCUCGCCAACACGACACCAUACACACUGUCUGCCAUCUGCCCGGUACAGUUGAAACUGGGAUUCAUCCAUGCAGAGCACAUUUCUCCAGAGUGCCCACUGAAGUCGAUUACAACGCCUAACUGCAGUCAGGUCAAGACCCUGGUGAGGACGACGAGCACGCAGAUGAGCUUCCCUGAGAGUUUCUGGCAGUUUGUGCAGAAAUUCUUUGGUUGUGUAAACCCAAUCAGGGUUUAAUCAGCGGCCCAGGUGGCUGGUCAAAUUGUAGAAUCCAGUUCCUACAUUUGAAUAUAAAAAUCGAUUUUAUCAAACAAAACUAUGCUACAUUUUAUCUCUGGGGCCCUCAGGAUGACAAAUCAGAGCAAGAUUACUGACUGUAAGUACAUUAUUUACAUUCAGAGGUGAAUGUAUCGAACCAGUUGCCGUGAAUAAAGUUUUUUGUUGUUAUGCACUCUCCUCAAACAAUACCGUGGUAUUUUUUCACUGUAAUAGCUCCAGUAAAUUGGACAGUGCAUUUAGAUUAACAAGAAUUUAAGCUUUCUGCCAAUAUCAGAUAUGUCAAUGUCUAAUUUUCUUGUUACUUACAUCAUCAUGCUAAUCACAUUAGCACACGUUAGCUCAACCAAUCCCGUAGAGGUUUUAACAGCCAAUGACUCACAAUGCUCCUAGUAGGGCAAACCGUCUCAUUGCUAACAGGAUAACUCAGGUUGAUAUGUGCAUGAUACUGCUGACCAUAGCAUUCAGGGGAGUUAUAGAAACAUAAAUUAGGUUACCCUCAUCACUAUCAAACGCUCCCUAAAACACUUCAGCGAGCAGGCCUAUCUAAUCAACCUGGCCCGGGUAUCCUGGAAGGAUAUUGACCUCAUCCCGUCAGUAGUGGAUGCCUGUAGCCUCCAACCUCUCUCAUUCUAUUGGAGAGUGGCUCCAAUAAAUGAAUGUAUAGCGGCCAGGCAGUCUUCAUGAGUGUGUGGAGCCACAAUCCAAUAGGAUGAGGGAGGUUUGAGGCUACAGGGAGCAGGGGACACAUUAGUUAAUGAAUAGAUCAUUAGUGCACAUAGCAGCAAAAUGUUUUGGCAACUGAAAGUGUUAUUGCAACAAAAACAAGAGUUUCUUAUUGGACAGAUUCAGGUAGGUGGUCCCUCCCCUUUUUCUGUCUGUUUUGGUGUCUAGUCAACACGAGCCUGACGAUGAUGUGCUAUCACAGUAUCCCACAAGAUGGCAGCACAGAGCAGAGGUGGAGUUUGAACUAAGCAUAUGCGAAUAACGAAUAAUGUAUUCAAACCCACAUAUUCAAACUUCUGCAACUCAUUACAUUGGAAUAGAGGAGAGCUUUGCAGACUCAUGAUCAUCUGCAGUAUCUCUCUCUCUUUCAACAUCUCUUCUUUCUCUCUCUCUCUCUCUCUCUCUCUCUCUCUCUCACACUCGCUUGCUCUCUCUCUUUCAACAUCUCUUCUUUCUCGUCUCUCAGAAUGGAAUAAGAGAUGAUUGGCCAUACAGCUCUCCUCACUAUAUAAUAACAGAUGAUUGGUCAUACAGCUCUCCUCACUAAAUAAUAGCAGAUGAUUGGUCAUACAGCUCUCCUCACUAAAUAAUAACAGAUGAUUUGUCAUACAGCUCUCCUCACUAUAUAAUAACAGAUGAUUGGUCAUACAGCUCUCCUCACUAAAUAAUAACAGAUGAUUGGUCAUACAGCUCUCCUCACUAUAUAAUAACAGAUGAUUGGUCAUACAGCUCUCCUUACUAUAUAAUAACAGAGGAUUGGCCAUACAGCUCUCCUUACUAUAUAAUAAGAGAUGAUUGGUCAUACAGCUCUCCUCACUAAAUAAUAACAGAUGAUUGGUCAUACAGCUCUCCUCACUAUAUAAUAACAGAUGAUUGGUCAUACAGCUCUCCUCACUAUAUAAUAACAGAGGAUUGGCCAUACAGCUCUCCUUACUAUAUAAUAAGAGAUGAUUGGUCAUACAGCUCUCCUCACUAUAUAAUAACAGAGGAUUGGCCAUACAGCUCUCCUCACUAUAUAAUAAGAGAUGAUUGGUCAUACAGCUCUCCUCACUAUAUAAUAACAGAUGAUUGGCCAUACAGCUCUCCUCACUAUAUAAUAACAGAUGAUUGGCCAUACAGCUCUCCUCACUAUAUAAUAAGAGAUGAUUGGCCAUACAGCUCUCAUCACUAUAUAAUAAGAAAAUUAUGAGGUCUGUGUGGUUGUUUUUGUUUAACUGUCCUCUCUCUCUCUCUCUCUCUCUCUCUCUCUCUCUCCCUCUCUCUCUCUCUCUCUCUCUCUCUCUCUUUCUCUCUCUCUCUCUCUCUCUCUCUCUCUCUCUCUCUCUCUCUCUCUCUCUCUCUCUCUCUCUCUCUCUCUCUCUCUCUCUCUCUCUCUCUCUUCCACCUGUCCUUGUGCUUGUCUCCACCCCCUCCAGGUGUCACCCAUCUUCCCCACUUAUCCUCUGGGUAUAUAUAUACUGGUGUUUUCUGUCUGUCUGUGCCAGCUUGUCUUGUUUGUUCAAAUCAACCAGCGGUUUGUCUCAACUACUGUUUUUCCCCAGUCUCUUUUUUUCUCGCCCUCCUGGUUUUUGACCCUUGACUGUCCUGACCCUGUAUCCACCCGCCUGACCACUCUGCCUGACCCUGAGCCUGCCUGCUGUCCUGUACCUUGACCUCUACUCUGGAUUACCGACCUCUGCCUGACCUGAGCCUGCCUGCUGUCCUGUACCUUGACCUCUACUCUGGAUUACCGACCUCUGCCUGACCCUGAGCCUGCCUGUCAUCCUGUACCUUGACCUCUACUCUGGAUUACCGACCUCUGCCUGACCCUGAGCCUGCCGUCCUGUACCUUGACCUCUACUCUGGAUUACCGACCUCUGCCUGACCUGAGCCUGCCUGUCAUCCUGUACCUUGACCUCUACUCUGGAUUACCGACCUCUGCCUGACCCUGAGCCUGCCGUCCUGUACCUUGACCUCUACUCUGGAUUACCGACCUCUGCCUGACCCUGAGCCUGCCGUCCUGUACCUUGACCUCUACUCUGGAUUACCGACCUCUGCCUGACCUGAGCCUGCCUGCUGUCCUGUACCUUGACCUCUACUCUGGAUUACCGACCUCUGCCUGACCCUGAGCCUGCCGUCCUGUACCUUGACCUCUACUCUGGAUUACCGACCUCUGCCUGCCUUGUCCUGCCAUUUGCCCCUGGUGUUACUAUAAACAUUGUUACUUCACACAGUCUGCACUUGGGUCUUACCUUGAUUCCUGAUAUCAACAUUAAACUCCAAAGGAAUGAAGACAUUUAUUCCAAAUGUCAUAUUAUGUGCAAAUAAUUAAACUACAAAAGGAAAUAAAUAAACAUAAAUAUGGGUUGUAUAUACAAUGUUUGUUCUUCACUGGUUGCCCUUUUUUUGUGGCAACAGUUCACAAAUGUUGCUGCUGUGAUGGCACACUGUGGUGUUUCACCCAAUAGAUAUGGGAGUUUAUUAAAAUUGGAUUUGUUUUUGAA